UAUAGUGUUAGUUAACCCGCACAAUUGAAGUAAUUAUUCAGCUUCUGGAAAAUUUGUGUAAAGGUUGUCAAGACUUCAACUUUUAAGAACUUGACUUAUUUUAUUGAAAUUAAGGCAUGUGUCCCAGCCACGUGUACUGGGAACAUGCACCAACGAGGGAGGUUAACGUUAUUCCUGAAUCCGUCACCUGUACUAGUACAUCGAUGUGAUUUGGGUUUUAUAGUACGGCCUUCAAUGCAGUUGAAUUUUCUUAUAAGAAAGUUAUUAACGUCAUACGACUGGACAUGAGAAUAAGUGAAGAAACGUUAACCUCAUAGCGUGCUAUUAGAUUGUCUGACUAGCCAACUACUUAGCUUAGUUAGCUAACGUUGUUUAGCCUAGGUAGUACGUUACGGUAUGCCCUGAUCCCAGUCGUGGUUAAGUGGAGACAACGGUAACCCUCCUCUAAAGAUAGUAGUGGUAAAUUGAAGUUCAGUUAAGAAACUUAAAAUAUCUGAUCUGCAUAGCGAAGGUAUUGUUAAUAAACCGUGCUGCAAGAUUGUCAGUGACCCAACUUGUCUUUGUCAUCAUGGCUAACGCCAGAUUCUCUUUUCUGGGCUUGUCAGCGUUUCCUUUUGCUUGUUUUGUCAAUGAUGAUUUUUAUCACUAAAUCUUCGAGUUUAACGACCAUGAGAGUACAACAUGCACUCCCAUCUGAGACACCAAGCAGGGCGCUCAGUUUCAGAAGUGUGAAGUGCUUUUACCAUGCAUUAAGUUGUCCCACAUUUGUCCAUUUCUUAAGGUUCUUAUCGAUGGCCGGGGCCAUCUCCUCGGGAGACUUGCUGCCAUCUCUGAAGUACGUCUCAAUGGGCCACUAAGUGAUUGUGAGAUUCGAGGGAAUCAACAUCUCUGGAAACUACCGUAGCCAUAGUACUCCUAGCAGGAUAUUCUGGAGGACUGUUAGGGGUAUGCUUCCUCACAAGACCAAGAGGGGACAGGCUGCUCUGGAGAGGCUAAAGGUGAUGGGAUUCCCCCUCCUUAUGACAAGGCAAGUGACUGCUUUGCUGAUGGGUUGAAUUGAUCAGGAGUGCCCAAGCCCAAACAUGGGUGUACAUCCUUUGAGAUGUUUUUAAGUGUAAAAAUGUUUGCCGGGGUGGGGGGGGAUUAGCCGCAUAGCUCAUAUCUGAGAAGGGCCCCAUAUACCCUUUCCCCUAAACUCUUAUUUUUGGCCAGAUUCUG